CCAUUAUAUUUUGGUACUGCUCUGUACCAAAGUCUCAAUCUGUGUGGAAAUGCAGAGAAAUACAUUUCUCAUUGCCGUGCCCUCUGGAUUGCUGUUGUCAGAACGAGUGGGUGUUGCCAUCAGAAGAUAGAACAAAUGCUGCUGCUUUGAAAUGCUGCCUCUGCAGCUCGCAGUGUUACCGUACUUGUCAUCAUGAGCUUUCUAAAUGCUCUUCUUUUCAGCUUCCAAUGAAUUCGUUGCACUCAUAGAAACACCCACAUCCAUAGCAAGACGUGUAUCCGUGUGUGCACCUUUCCUUAGUUUCCAUGUUGUGACAGCUGUGUUUUCCCUGUGCAGCUUUCCUUCCUUGCACUGUUUUGCAGUGCCACGUGAUACCACACCUUAGUUAUGUUGAUUUUUUUCCCCAAGGUUGAGCAUUGUCAUGUUCUGUUAAACUCUUAGAUGCCCGAAUCUCUCUUGACUUAUUGCUGAUCUGUUCACAUGUAUUUUAAUUUCCCUGUUCAAAAAUUAUUUUAAUACAAGACUCAUUGAAUGAUUCAGUAGAGAAGAGUGGGUCUGAAUAUUUCAUUUAAAGGCAGCAAGUGCUGAGGAGUUUUUAAACUUUCCACCAUAAUGAACUGCACAGAAUUAAUAGCUUUGGCUUAAUGAUUGCUGGGUUCUCCCAGAAUGAGUUUUAUUUAGCAGAAAUUUCCAGAAUGGCUGUUUUGAGCCGGAUCAGAGAGAUGCUAUAUUUUGUUCUGAUUUUUACUUCUGACUACUGUAGUAAAAUUCAGCUGUUAGUAAGGAAGCAGACAAUUUCUUAUGUGCCUUUCCCUUCUAACACAGGAGAAACUCACUCACAGAGGAAGGGUUUCUGCACACAGCACUGGGAUAUUUACAAUGCCAUGGCUUCAACAAACCUGGCCCUUCCCCUUGCUGUGGCCCUGAGACUUCCAAUGUGGCUGGAACUGCAAGCAACUGGGAACACACUGUGACCGCAGUAUCUGGCACAAACACACCUUGGGGAGGAACACUCCCAUCUGCUGCAUUUGGCGAGGAAAUGCAAACAGAGCGACGCUGGACUCUCAUCUCCCUCUCCUCUGUUUCAGAGAGGCACAGAGCCUGUGUGUGUUCCAGCGCAAUGAGAUCAUGGGGCCAGUGCCAGCCACGGCCCUGGGCAGGGAUGCCAGCACCCUCCUGGCAUGGCAUGGCCGGCCCUGUACCGCAGCACUAGGCUGAGAUCCCGCCGGGCCCAGCAGGUGCCUCGCAGCCAGGCAGAGGGACUGCAGCAGCCUGAGCUUGGCCUUGGCCUCCACACCUGGGUGCAGUGCCUGAGACUUUGUCAGGAAGCAUAUCUGGAGGCCUAUAUUUAUGGCUCCAUCUGUGCUUUGUGGGUUCCCAUCUCCACUGAAUUAUCUGUAUUCUGCUCCUCAUCAGCUGGGCCCACAACGGGGUGUUCCUGCCACCAGCUGCAGCGAAGGCCUGGGCCACUCAGCCCAUUCCUAUCACACUGCUCCGGAAGCCCAUCUGACAGCUGGUGACUGGCACAGCGCUGUGCCUGCGGGGAGAGCCGCCCUGGGCCCAGCCCACCACACAGAGCAGGUUCAGCUGUCACCGUGUGUCACCAGGCCUAUAGGAGAGGGCACUGCACGUUCAGCUGUGUCCGUGCAACAUAGUGUGACUGUGAGAACUGAGCACUCAAAGUCAAGAAACUUCUACUGGAUUGUACGUGUCAUGUAAUUCCUAGAUCUGCUUGUGUUAAUCAUCGACAAAUGUAAAAACAUCUUGAGAUUCUGCUUUGACUGUGAAACUUUGACAAUCCUCAUGAAACAGCUUACAUUUUGGAGGAUGUGGCUGCCAUCAAAAUGAGUCUAACAUCUACAUAUUUCUCAUUUAUCUAUGGAAUUGUGCUUCUUUCCUUUUAUCUCCUCCUGGAGAUUAUAUUUAUUGAGAAAACAAGAAACUGUUUUUACUGAUAACAGGUCUGACCCAUACCUCUGGUUCAAAGUAACACCAGAUACUUAUCUGGGAUUGUCAUCUGCAGUUUUUCAAUUUCAGUGCAUCAGCCCUAAUGUAGACAAGCAAAAGAAGCAAUUCUACUCAGAUUUUGUUCCACUUGGCCAAAAUCAGCCUUCAGGUUCAACAUUCAGGUGCCUUGCCAGAGCAUCCUCACAGCAAGUGAAAGGACAGAGAGCUAUGACUGAAUUGAAAAGAUGACUAAUUACCCCAAAGACAAACAAUCCAUCAGAAUGGCAAAUUACCCCUGGAAUUCUCAGCAUUGUGCUACUGAGUUCGUCUGGAAGCAACGGUGAAAAGCACAGCCUAUCUGCUAAUUGUUUUACUUCAAUGCCUUUUGCUGAUAUUGAGAGCUUAGAAGAGCUCAGUAGUGAUUUCAAUUACUUGGAUGUAAAUCCAAAAAAUGACAGUGGAGUUGGGCCAGAUUUACAUAACUGUAAAUGAGAUUUUAAGAAAUGUCUGCAUAGUUUCCUUUCAGGCUCUAUAUCUAAAUGUCUUAAUUAGCCUCUCAAUUCAAGGGUCUAAUUUCCACAACGGUUAAUGAAUUGCACUUAUACGUGGUGGCUAAAUUAUCUUGCCAGUUUUUAGGGAAUAUUCUAAAGGCUCCUAAUGAGAAAAAAAAAGCCUCAAAGUUCUCCAGCUUUGUUUUUCCAAGUCUAAGGACUAAAUAUAGUGUACAUUCCCCAGAAAAUGUGAGUGAUGGGGAUUAGUAAUUCAUGAGUGACGUGGCCCAUUUACAGCCUUAACAGCACAGAGCUCACUGUGGCAUGGAGAGGAUCAAACAAAACAACUCGGUUGACUUUCAUGCAUUUAAAACAAUGAGGAAUAAAAGCUUAAUCUGGGCUAAAACUGCAAAUGCUCCCUGCGUUAGUUAACACUGAUGAAAAUACUGAAUAAUGGCUAAGAAUUAAGCUGUAAAGUGAAUUUUAAAAGGCAGAAGGGUAUCGAAUAAAAGCUCCAAAGUAUUAAAAGUUGGGGUUGAAAAUGAAAUUUGUAUUAGGUGACAAAGCUGGCAUCUGCUGAAAAAAGAAAAGUCCUCCCCAAACCCACGGUUGUUUCUGAGUGCUGUGUUUUGAGUCCCUUUUUGAGAGGUAGAAGAGGUGGUAGGUGGUCACCAUGAGCAAGCGCUUUGAGUCUGCGGUAUUUAUUAACAGCUGAUUGUUUCCACACCCUUCUCUUUUAUGUAAGAUAGACCUCAGUGCUUGGCAUAGGGCUCCAUUUGGGAGGGAUGCCCCUGUGCCAUAAGCUGGGCCCCUGGAGGGGAUGUGCAGGGGCGCAGAGCAGUGCCCUGAGCGAGGUGACCGUGCUGCAGCCUCCUCUGUGUGGUGCUGUCAGUGCAGCCCUCCUGCAGCUUCAGCAAAGGAAUGGCGAGCUUCAAAUAUCUCCACAUUAUCGAGUAACCUUCAGAUGGCGGGCGUGUUUCCAGCUCCUGAGAUGCACACCACAAGCCUGGUUUUUGUUGUGUUU